CGUGUAGGCGGCUUUGUGUGUCUUCUGUGAAAGCCCUCGGCUCAACCGAGGAAUUGCAGGGGAAACUGCGGAGCUCGAGUCCGGGAGAGGAAAGCGGAAUUCCCAGUGUAGCGGUGAAAUGCGUAGAUAUUGGGAGGAACACCUGUGGCGAAGGCGGCUUUCUGGACCGGUACUGACGCUGAUACGCGAAAGCUAGGGGAGCAAACAGGAUUAGAUACCCUGGUAGUCC
rnacentral:rRNA from 1 species